AGAUGCAACCCUCACAAGUCACAACCAUUGUUCAGCAGAAAACAAAGAGAGAAGCGCAAGGAGAUCACGAUGAGCAGUGGUGACGAGCAACUUCGACUUCGACGGUCGACUUCGACAAAUCUAACCUGAGGUAUUUCUCUCUCUGUGGAAAUAAAUGAUUUUAACUUCGUUGAUUUCGAACUCGUCAUCGUCUUCAAAUAGGUCAAGCUUUGGCACUUCAUUCGCAGCCUUGGGUUCAGUUUCCAUUCCUAAUAUCGUCUUCAAUUGUAAAUGACACCAGAUCUGUGGAUUUCCACAUAAUAAUAUAUAGAUAGAGAUAGAUAGAUAAAGAGAGAGAGAGGGGAGGGAGGGAGGGAGGGGACGCAGCGAUGAUAACAUGAUCGAAUCUGGCAGAACAGCUUCGGGAAUAUCAGAUUCGAUCGAAGCAUGAUUGGACUUCCGUCUCCUUCUUCUCCUCUACUUCUAAUCUCACGUCUUCAAGGUAUCUCUCAAAUCUCCCAAAAUAGGGGUUAUAUUCUCUCAAUUUCUGUUGACUUCUUUAGGUUUGUUCUUUAGGGUUUAAAUUUCACAUUUGCGUGAUCUAUGGCUGAUUAGGAAUGGUAAUUAAUUGAGAUUAGUCUGAACGAUUACUGGAUGAUGGAUCCUAUUCGAUCAAUUACGUUUUUUGUGUGCAUUAGUGGGUUUUAAUUUAUUUUUACAGUUCUUGAUUAUAGGUGUUUGAAUUGCGAAAGCAUGAAUCAAGAAUUUCUGAAAUUAAAACUACCAAACUAUAAUUCACGUGUUAAUUGUUCUUAGAAUGAUGCAUUAUGUCCAGAGGUAUUCUCCCUCGUCUGUUAUGAUAUUGUUCUGCUAAUAUGUAUAUGUAUAUACAUAUUAUGUAUAUGUAUAUGUAUAUGUCUAUAUAUGAUAUUGUUCUGCUAAUAUGUAUAUAUGUAUAUAUACAUAUUUAUAUGUUAGCCCUAUGGCGUCAAUCCGAUAUGUUGC
rnacentral:lncRNA from 1 species